rnacentral:lncRNA from 1 species
GCGCUGUUUUGUGGAGGGAGAACGAGUUGUGGACGCCGAGCACCUCAUUUUAGUCAGUACCAGUGGUACAGUGAGUAGUGAGGUAGAAGUGGUCGCGCUGUGUUUGCAAACCUCCGGCGUAACAGCGGACCCGCACGAGAUUGUGGUGAGAAUCACCGACGCAUUCCGGGACCCAUCGAUCGUGGAGGCAAAGUGCUCGUGCACUGCUGGAUUGUCGCAAAAGUGCAAGCACAUCUCAGCUGUUUUGAUCCACUGUUAUAGAUCAGGCCUUGGGUCCCUGCCACCACUUAGCUGUACAGAUGUGGCGUGUGCAUGGGGCACAAAAAAGAAACUUGUGCAAAAUAUGUAUGCACCUGCACCCAUCCGAACAUAUUGCCAUGUGAAGCUGCCUGUCCCUCCUCCACAAGUUCCA